GCCGCGGUAAGACGUAGGGCGCGAGCGUUGUCCGGAUUUAUUGGGCGUAAAGAGCUCGUAGGCGGCUUGUUGCGUCGACCGUGAAAACCCGGGGCUUAACUUCGGGCUUGCGGUCGAUACGGGCGGGCUAGAGUUCGGUAGGGGAGACUGGAAUUCCUGGUGUAGCGGUGAAAUGCGCAGAUAUCAGGAGGAACACCGAUGGCGAAGGCAGGUCUCUGGGCCGAUACUGACGCUGAGGAGCGAAAGCGUGGGGAGCGAACAGGAUUAGAUACCCUGGUAGUCCACGCUGUAAACGUUGGGCGCUAGGUGUGGGGGGCCUCUCCGGUUUCCUGCGCCGCAGCUAACGCAUUAAGCGCCCCGCCUGGGGAGUACGGCCGCAAGGCUAAAACUCAAAGGAAUUGACGGGGGCCCGCACAAGCGGCGGAGCAUGCGGAUUAAUUCGAUGCAAC
rnacentral:rRNA from 1 species